GACGAACCGAGCGAACGUUGUUCGGAGUCACUGGGCUUAAAGGGCGCGUCGGCGGGCUAUCAAGUCCGGGGUGAAAUCCUCCAGCUUAACUGGAGAACGGCCUCGGAUACUGAUGGUCUCGAGGGAGGUAGGGGCACGCGGAACUGUGGGUGGAGCGGUGAAAUGCGUUGAUAUCCAUAGGAACUCCGGUGGCGAAGGCGGCGUGCUGGACCUUUUCUGACGCUGAGGCGCGAAAGCCAGGGGAGCGAACGGG
rnacentral:rRNA from 1 species